rnacentral:rRNA from 1 species
AAAUUGAAGAGUUUGAUCAUGGCUCAGAUUGAACGCUGGCGGCAGGCCUAACACAUGCAAGUCGAACGGUAACAGGAAGCAGCUUGCUGCUUUGCUGACGAGUGGCGGACGGGUGAGUAAUGUCUGGGAAACUGCCUGAUGGAGGGGGAUAACUACUGGAAACGGUGGCUAAUACCGCAUAACGUCGCAAGACCAAAGAGGGGGACCUUCGGGCCUCUUGCCAUCAGAUGUGCCCAGAUGGGAUUAGCUUGUUGGUGAGGUAACGGCUCACCAAGGCGACGAUCCCUAGCUGGUCUGAGAGGAUGACCAGCCACACUGGAACUGAGACACGGUCCAGACUCCUACGGGAGGCAGCAGUGGGGAAUAUUGCACAAUGGGCGCAAGCCUGAUGCAGCCAUGCCGCGUGUAUGAAGAAGGCCUUCGGGUUGUAAAGUACUUUCAGCGGGGAGGAAGGUGUUGUGGUUAAUAACCGCAGCAAUUGACGUUACCCGCAGAAGAAGCACCGGCUAACUCCGUGCCAGCAGCCGCGGUAAUACGGAGGGUGCAAGCGUUAAUCGGAAUUACUGGGCGUAAAGCGCACGCAGGCGGUCUGUCAAGUCGGAUGUGAAAUCCCCGGGCUCAACCUGGGAACUGCAUUCGAAACUGGCAGGCUUGAGUCUUGUAGAGGGGGUAGAAUUCCAGGUGUAGCGGUGAAAUGCGUAGAGAUCUGGAGGAAUACCGGUGGCGAAGGCGGCCCCCUGGACAAAGACUGACGCUCAGGUGCGAAAGCGUGGGGAGCAAACAGGAUUAGAUACCCUGGUAGUCCACGCCGUAAACGAUGUCUACUUGGAGGUUGUGCCCUUGAGGCGUGGCUUCCGGAGCUAACGCGUUAAGUAGACCGCCUGGGGAGUACGGCCGCAAGGUUAAAACUCAAAUGAAUUGACGGGGGCCCGCACAAGCGGUGGAGCAUGUGGUUUAAUUCGAUGCAACGCGAAGAACCUUACCUGGUCUUGACAUCCACAGAACUUUCCAGAGAUGGAUUGGUGCCUUCGGGAACUGUGAGACAGGUGCUGCAUGGCUGUCGUCAGCUCGUGUUGUGAAAUGUUGGGUUAAGUCCCGCAACGAGCGCAACCCUUAUCCUUUGUUGCCAGCGGUCCGGCCGGGAACUCAAAGGAGACUGCCAGUGAUAAACUGGAGGAAGGUGGGGAUGACGUCAAGUCAUCAUGGCCCUUACGACCAGGGCUACACACGUGCUACAAUGGCGCAUACAAAGAGAAGCGACCUCGCGAGAGCAAGCGGACCUCAUAAAGUGCGUCGUAGUCCGGAUUGGAGUCUGCAACUCGACUCCAUGAAGUCGGAAUCGCUAGUAAUCGUGGAUCAGAAUGCCACGGUGAAUACGUUCCCGGGCCUUGUACACACCGCCCGUCACACCAUGGGAGUGGGUUGCAAAAGAAGUAGGUAGCUUAACCUUCGGGAGGGCGCUUACCACUUUGUGAUUCAUGACUGGGGUGAAGUCGUAACAAGGUAACCGUAGGGGAACCUGCGGUUGGAUCACCUCCUUACCUGAAAGAAGC